GAUGAACGCUGGCGGCGUGCCUAAUACAUGCAAGUCGGACGUGAACCUCGAUUUCGGUUGAGGUGAAAGUGGCGAACGGGUGAGUAACACAUAGCUGACCUGCCCCUCAGGGGGGGACAACCGCUGGAAACGGUGGCUAAUACCCCAUACGCUCGUUCGGGUCAGAGGCCGGGCGAGGAAAGGCGAGAGCUGUUGAGGGAGGGGGCUGUGGCCCAUCAGCUAGUUGGUAGGGUAAAGGCCUACCAAGGCGAGGACGGGUAGGGGACCUGAGAGGGUGACCCCCCACACGGGCACUGAGAGACGGGCCCGACUCCUACGGGAGGCAGCAGUAAGGGAUAUUGCGCCAAUGGGCGAAAGCCUGACGCAGCAACGCCGCGUGCGGGAAGAAGGCCUUCGGGUUGUAAACCGCUUUUCUGGGGGAAGAGGAAGGACGGUACCCUGGGAAUAAGUCUCGGCUAACUACGUGCCAGCAGCCGCGGUAAAACGUAGGAGGCGAGCGUUAUCCGGAUUUACUGGGUGUAAAGCGCGUGCAGGCGGUUUGGCAAGUCGUGCGUGAAAGCGCUCUGGCUCAACCGGGCGAGGACGUGCGGAACUGCUGAACUAGAGGCAGGUAGAGGCGUGUGGAAUUCCGGGUGUAGUGGUGAAAUGCGUAGAGAUCCGGAGGAACACCAGUGGCGAAGGCGACGCGCUGGGCCUGACCUGACGCUAAGACGCGAAAGCAUGGGGAGCGAACGGGAUUAGAAACCCCGGUAGUCCAUGCUGUAAACGAUGCGGACUAGGUGUGGCGGUGAGGAGCCGCUGUGCCGCAGCCAACGUGAUAAGUCCGCCACCUGGGGAGUACGGCCGCAAGGUUA
rnacentral:rRNA from 1 species